CUUUUUUUUUUUUCUCUCAACUCUCUCAGACAAAUUCCAUUCUCUCAUCAACUGUCUCAGACAGAUAUAAGAUUGAGACUUCAGAUGAAAAGAAAUAGCAGUUCAAUUGAAGAUUCUAAUUAGCUGAAAAAACCUUAUUUUCAACCAGAGAAGAAACCCCAGAAUUCGGCUUUAAAACCUCAAAUCUGUUUUUAAGAUAUGUAUCCUAAUCAAAACCCCUCUAUCAGAAAGUUCGAUCUAUCAACCACUAGCCCUAAUUUUCAGAAGAAGGCGAGGGAAGUUCUUUAACCUUCCGUGAAAAUGAGUAUAUAGUUCCGAAGAAUGACUAUCAAAAUGGUGUACAGAUGAAGCAUAUGGAUUGUAGCAAAAGAGUUCGACUGUGUGGUGUCUAUUAAUCAACGAGACCAGCAGUUAUGUCAUUCUCCAUCUGCUACAGGGGAAGGCUCCAGUCAAGUUAUGACUGAAUCUGUGUAUGAAUCAACAUUCUGAAACAUUGGAACUGCUGCCAAAACAAUGGAUCUGCUGCCGGCAAAAGAUCAGCCUCGUCACUAAAAGCAGUACCAGAAGACUUCACACCUCUUGCUGAUAUGAAGGGGAAAACUAUCCCUCAAAAUCACCUGCAAAAUGAGGAAGCCAAGAGAAGGAAAGGAAUGUGGCAUAACUCUGCAGGGUGAUCGUGCUUGUUAUAUGUGUGGUUCUCCUGAUCUUUUCAUUAGAGACUGUCCAGUUUCUUCCAAUCAGUAUCCAAUGCUUCAGACAGGGGAUGCUGUUUACCAAGGAGGUAUGCCAGCUUAUGGACCACCUCCUUACUGGAAUGGCCUCCAAUUUAGACCCUUUCCAAAUGUUUAUGCGACUCCUGGCAUGAUGCCCUAUGGUUCCAAUAUGGGCCCAGUAAAUCCUUAUGCAGUUCAUUCAUAUAUGCUGGCAUGCAAGCACCCUAGUAAGAACCUGAAGGCGUUGAAGUACUUGGUGUAUCUAUCAUGCAGUAUAUACAAUGUGAAUUGAGCCAUAUCUUAACUUGUAUAAAAAAAAAUUUUUGCAGGUGGGAUUGGCCUAGUGCAGCCUGAUCUUUAAUCUGAAUUCAUCUAUUUGUGUCUUUUCAACUUUACAAGUGUAAUCAUGGACAUAAAGAAACAUUGAGAUAACUUUAGAAGAGUGACUUUAAGAAUGGCCAUUGAAGAGUUUCUAAUGUAAGUUAUUGGUCUUUGCAGGAAGUAAUUGGUGUUGAAGUGUUUUUGCUCAAAGUUAUAGCUGCAAUUAGACACGUUCUGUUCUUUGUCUCUGUUCCUUUAAAGAGCAAUUGCAGCAGCAUGUUUGUUUUCAUGCAAUAGGGUGUUGGCAGCUUGAGCAAUCUCUCCAAAGUUUAAUAGGAAACUUGUAGUUUUUUAUAAGAUCCAUUCAAGUCUUUCUUCUUUGUGAUGGGUUUUGUUUAGUAUCUAGAGAUUGAGCUUUCCAUUCGUGCAAAAGAUAUAACAUGAUAGUCACGUGCUUAUGCAUGGUAACGUUGGUUGUGAUUUGUAAAUUGGUUUCAUCUGAAAUGUAUUAGGUUACCAUAGACCCGAAGGAGAGAAAUCCGGAAUCUUUUCAUACUGGUUUGAAGGUCAGAUGUACCAUAACCAAGGAAAUAGCACUGGAGUCUGAAUCACCCUUUUUGCUGGGAGCAGUUCACCAGUUGAGACUCAAGAAACCGCACAAAUAUUCUGGUUGAGAAGGCUUCAAAGACGUAGUUUAUGAAGCUGUCAAUGGUGAGGGUGGAUUGGUUCAUUACAUCCUUCCUGUCUAUCCUGCCAAGUGCAGAAAUGAAUGAGGUUUGCUAUUAAUGAAUUCCUGCUCUAAUACCUAGUUCAGAAUGGAAUUUCAUUGUGUAAGUUCAAACUAAGUUGUAAAAUGCUGCAAGGAUGAAUAAUGUUGCAAGGAUGAGUGAUUUUUUAUCAGGCCAAGGUUCAAUAUUAUUUUUAGUACUCGAUUUCGUAAAUAUCAUUACAAAUUAUGUAAUUUAAUUUUUUUUA